rnacentral:rRNA from 1 species
UUAAGUUAACAAGGGCGCACGGUGGAUGCCUUGGCACUAGAAGCCGAAGAAGGACGUGACUAACGACGAAAUGCUUUGGGGAGCUGUAAGUAAGCGCUGAUCCAGAGAUGUCCGAAUGGGGGAACCCACUAGUUAAUGACUAGUAUCCAUAUCUGUUAAGGAUAUGAGAAGGAAGACGCAGUGAACUGAAACAUCUAAGUAGCUGCAGGAAGAGAAAGCAAAAGCGAUUGCCUUAGUAGCGGCGAGCGAAACGGCAGGAGGGCAAACCGAAGUGUUUACACUUCGGGGUUGUAGGACUGCGAUAUAGGAUUAAUCAUUAUAGAAGAAUUACCUGGGAAGGUAAGCCAAAGAGAGUAACAGCCUCGUAUUUAAAAUGAUAGAUUAACCUUAGCAGUAUCCUGAGUACGGCGAGACACGCGAAAUCUUGUCGGAAUCUGGGAGGACCAUCUCCCAACCCUAAAUACUCUCUAGUGACCGAUAGUGAACCAGUACCGUGAGGGAAAGGUGAAAAGCACCCCGGGAGGGGAGUGAAAUAGAACCUGAAACCGUGUGCCUACAACAAGUUCGAGCCCGUUAAUGGGUGAGAGCGUGCCUUUUGUAGAAUGAACCGGCGAGUUACGAUAUGAUGCGAGGUUAAGUUGAAGAGACGGAGCCGUAGGGAAACCGAGUCUUAAUAGGGCGUCAUAGUAUCAUGUUGUAGACCCGAAACCAUGUGACCUACCCAUGAGCAGGUUGAAGGUGAGGUAAAACUCACUGGAGGACCGAACCAGGGCACGUUGAAAAGUGCUUGGAUGACUUGUGGGUAGCGGAGAAAUUCCAAACGAACUUGGAGAUAGCUGGUUCUCUCCGAAAUAGCUUUAGGGCUAGCGUCGAUGUUAAGUCUCUUGGAGGUAGAGCACUGUUUGGGUGAGGGGUCCAUCCCGGAUUACCAAUCUCAGAUAAACUCCGAAUGCCAACGAGAUAUAAUCGGCAGUCAGACUGCGAGUGCUAAGAUCCGUAGUCGAAAGGGAAACAGCCCAGACCACAGCUAAGGUCCAAAUAUAUGUUAAGUGGAAAAGGAUGUGGGGUUGCACAGACAACUAGGAUGUUAGCUUAGAAGCAGCUAUUCAUUCAAAGAGUGCGUAAUAGCUCACUAGUCGAGUGACCCUGCGCCGAAAAUGUACCGGGGCUAAAAAUAUUACCGAAGCUGGGAUGACACAAAAGUGUCAUGGUAGGAGAGCGUUCUAUGUGUGAAGAAGGUGUACCGUGAGGAGCGCUGGAACGCAUAGAAGUGAGAAUGCCGGUAUGAGUAGCGCAAGACAGGUGAGAAUCCUGUCCACCGUAAGACUAAGGUUUCCAGGGGAAGGCUCGUCCGCCCUGGGUUAGUCGGGACCUAAGGAGAGACCGAAAGGUGUAUCCGAUGGACAACAGGUUGAUAUUCCUGUACUAGAGUAUAUAGUGAUGGAGGGACGCAGUAGGCUAACUAAACCAGACGAUUGGAAGUGUCUGGUCAAACAGUGAGGUGUGAUAUGAGUCAAAUGCUUAUAUCUUUAACAUUGAGCUGUGACGAGGAGCGAAGUUUAGUAGCGAAGUUAGUGAUGUCACACUGCCAAGAAAAGCUUCUAGCGAUACAUAUACUCUACCCGUACCGCAAACCGACACAGGUAGUCGAGGCGAGUAGCCUCAGGUGAGCGAGAGAACUCUCGUUAAGGAACUCGGCAAAAUGGCCCCGUAACUUCGGGAGAAGGGGCGCUGAUUUUAGAUCAGCCGCAGUGAAUAGGCCCAAGCAACUGUUUAUCAAAAACACAGCUCUCUGCUAAAUCGUAAGAUGAUGUAUAGGGGGUGACGCCUGCCCGGUGCUGGAAGGUUAAGAGGAGUGCUUAGCGUAAGCGAAGGUAUGAAUUGAAGCCCCAGUAAACGGCGGCGUAACUAUAACGGUCCUAAGGUAGCGAAAUUCCUUGUCGGGUAAGUUCCGACCCGCACGAAAGGCGUAAUGAUUUGGGCACUGUCUCAACGAGAGACUCGGUGAAAUUUUAGUACCUGUGAAGAUGCAGGUUACCCGCGACAGGACGGAAAGACCCCAUGGAGCUUUACUGCAGUUUGAUAUUGAGUAUCUGUACCACAUGUACAGGAUAGGUAGGAGCCUAUGAUAACGGGACGCCAGUUUCGUUUGAGGCG